rnacentral:lncRNA from 1 species
AUGCAAAAUAGGAGAAAUUGUAUUUCAAAUAGCUCACGACAGAAGCUUCAACACAUAAUACUUAAUGAGGUGAUGGACCAUUUCUGUAUUCUAGGCAUGAAUUAUACUGGCAGAUGUAACUACAGGAAGUGUCGCUUGAUGUUUGGGGCUGACCAAUGCUAUGAGCUGCUGAAGGCCAGAAACAAGUCUUCUCCUCCACACAAGCAGCUGAGGUCCUUCUCCUGCCUGGCCUUGUAAGUUGGAGUGCGGUGAGCAGCACUCUUCACAGUCUUCUCAGAAGUCCAGUACAGUCAGAAGAAUGGGAAAGGUCUGGUUAAAAAUGAAGAGUUCAAGUGCUGGUGGAGAGCAAAGAGCUUUGUGGAGCUGCUGAGAGGGCUUCCCCUGAAUUUGCAAAUUGGAGAGUCCUCAUCAGUCUCUGGUGAGGAGAGUGCUGGGAUCCCCACCCUGUCAGGCAGGAGAGAUCUGCGCUGGAGCAACUGUCCUGAGCGAUUUAGUAUGACUCUUUUUUCCCAGUUUUUUGGUUGUUACUGAGCUGCAUUGUUUAAAUUUAAUUGUAAGAUUAAGGGUUGAGUGCAAAAUGGAGCUGUUUAGCAAGGGAUGCAACAUGUGCUUUCCUUUUAAUGUAAAAUCACAGAAUUCCAAGUUAUCCAUAAAAUCAAAUCCUGUGGAAAAGCAAUUUUGGAGUGGGAAAUUAAUUUUAACAUUGUGUUAUUUCCACUGUAAUAGAAGAUUAACAAAAAAUACCUUUGGGGGGGGGGGGAGAUUGAGACACUUUUCCUGGAAAUGUCAAUAUAGAGUUUUAUGACAUUGCUAUAACACUUUGGUCUCGAUUGCUUCAAAAUAAAAAUUUGGCAACAUUCUACUUUGUAAGUCUC